rnacentral:rRNA from 1 species
GACGAACGCUGGCGGCGUGCUUAACACAUGCAAGUCGAGCGGAAAGGCCAGGAGCUUGCGGCUCGGACGUGAGGCGAACGGGGGAGUAAAACGUGAGUAUAAUGCCCUUAUCUGUGGGAUAACUUUUGGAAACAGGGGCGAUUACAGGAUAGGAGCUCCUGAUGCAUGGGGGUGGUAGGUAAGAGUCGUCGGUGGGGGAUGGACUAGAGGCAUAUUAGCUUGUUGAGGGGGUAGUGGCGGACAAAGGUUAUGACGGGUAGCAGGCCUGAGAGGGUGACCGGGCACAAUGGGACUGCGAUACGGCCCAGAAUCGUACGGGAGGCAGCAGUGGAGAGUAUUGCACAAUGGCCGGAAGCCAGAUGUAGCGACGCCGCGUGCGGGAUGACGGGCUUCGAGUGGUAAACCGAUUUGUCCUGUGAUGAGGAGAGAGUGACGGUAAUGGGUAAAGAAGCCACGGCUAACUACGUG